ensembl:scaRNA small Cajal body-specific RNA 16
CCGGUCCUGGGCAGCGGCUGCAGUGUGUCUGAUGACUGUACACUGCCGCUGCCCGUUUGGACCCAGACUAUAACAGGAAGAGGCUGAGAGUCUGUCCUGGCAGUUGCAGGUGUGAGCAUGCAUACAGCUGUCUGAUGCUCAUGUAUGAUACUGCGCACAAAC